CAGCCAAGGGCAAUGUGUCAAGCUUCCUCCUAUCCCCGGCUCUUCCCGAGAUGACAGCUCAAACCUCAGCCAGAGAUUUGAAAGAGUCCUAAAAGACCAAGACAACCUCAUUAAGAGUUUUGUGAAUGAGCUGUCGGAGAUGGAGCGCACUUCUCAUCAGCAGACCAGGGACAAUCUGUUAAAGUUUCAUUUGAGUCAGGUGAAAGAACAAGCGCUCGACUUCAAAACCAGACUCGAAGAACUUCGCUCAGAGUAUUAUACUGAGAGGAAGCUGAUUGUUUCACAGUGCGAGCAGCAGAGUGCGUAUUUGAAGGAUGUAAUGUUUU